AAUGAACGUUGGCGGCGUGGAUUAGGCAUGCAAGUCGAGCGAGAAUCGUAGCAAUACGAGGACAGCGGCGCAAGGGACAGUAAUGUGUAGAUUAUCUGCCCUCAGGUCCGGGAUAGCUGCGGGAAACUGCAGGUAAUACCGGAUAACAUCUCCGGAUCAAAGGUGUGAUUCCGCCUGAGGAUGAGUCUGCAUCCUAUUAGCUAGUUGGCAGGGUAACGGCCUACCAAGGCAUUGAUGGGUAGCGGGUGUGAGAGCACGACCCGCGUCAUUGGGACUGAGACACUGCCCAGACACCUACGAGUGGCUGCAGUCGAGAAUCUUCGGCAAUGGGCGCAAGCCUGACCGAGCGACGCCGCGUGUGGGAUGAAGGCCUUCGGGUUGUAAACCACUGUCAGAGGGGAUGAAAUGCAGGUGGGUUCUCCCAUCUGUUUGACAUAGCCUCAGAGGAAGGACGGGCUAAGUUCGUGCCAGCAGCCGCGGUAACAC
rnacentral:rRNA from 1 species